rnacentral:misc_RNA from 1 species
AAGUCGUAACAAGGUUUCCGUAGGUGAACCUGCGGAAGGAUCAUUAGCGAAGCGAACGCCCUCAUGGGGUUGUGCUGGCGCUCCCCGCGCAUGUGCACGCCUUGUAGGGUUGUCCAUCCUUCUCACACCUGUGCACACGUCCAGUCGGACCCGACGCCUUGUGCGUCGACCGGCUGCCUUUCACAACAGCCAUGUCAGAGUGUCGAAAGCUUUAUGCGCUUGCGCAACCGAAAAACAACUUUUAACAACGGAUCUCUUGGUUCUC